rnacentral:rRNA from 1 species
UACGUAGGGUGCGAGCGUUAAUCGGAUUUACUGGGCGUAAAGCGUGCGCAGGCGGCCCGUUAAGACAGGUGUGAAAUCCCUGGGCUCAACCUAGGAAUUGCGCUUGUGACUGGCGGGCUCGAGUACGGUAGAGGGGGGUGGAAUUCCUGGUGUAGCAGUGAAAUGCGUAGAGAUCAGGAGGAACACCGAUGGCGAAGGCAGCCUCCUGGGCCUGUACUGACGCUCAUGCACGAAAGCGUGGGGAGCAAACAGG